CUAAGCUGCUACCCUGCUGCUGGCUAACUUUGUGCUGUGAUCCUAUCAGAGCUCAUAAGCUAAGUGGGGUUGGGCUAGGUCAGAACUUAAAUGGGAAACCACUGCAGAAAUCUAGGGCUGCCCAGA
rnacentral:rRNA from 1 species